CAACCAUCAAGCCCCCGGGCUUGUGUUGGGGACCUGCGGCUGCCGCAGGCCCUGAAAACCAGUGGCGGGCUCGCUAGUCACUCCGAGCGUAGUAGUUUACACCUCGCUCAGGGCGUGCUGCGGGUUCCGGCCGUUAAAAAGCCUUAUUUUACCCCAA
rnacentral:misc_RNA from 1 species